rnacentral:lncRNA from 1 species
GCUUCUGUGUAUGCUCAGCAGGGAUCUGGUAAAAAUUAAACUGAGGCUAAUGAAGCUCCAAGCCCCCGCAUAACGCCACAGAGGGAGGAAGACUGAAUAUUGCCUGCUGUGAGGCAAACUGCUUAAGGAGCUUUGUGAAAGUCUCACUGAAACCAACUUAGCAAAUGCUCCUGUCCCAAAGCCUUUAUGACGAUCAUCUCCAAUCAGACAAUAUUCCUGCCACCAUGGAGCUAGGUGCCACUCCAGUGCAUGCGAAGUCACCUCGGUGAGGUGUUAACUUGAAAGUCAAGGGAGACUAGUAAGUGGAUCUUAUUAAACAAUCCAGGACUCUAGGCUCUCGUUGAUCCCCGUGUGGGUGCUAGGCAUGUAGAUGGUUCAUUAGAAGACUCACCCAUUUGCUUUUCUGAGCCCAGUUGUGUAUUUUUUGUAAACCCAGGCAGCUUCCAGCAAAACGCAAGUUUUGGUUUCGUGCCUUUUCUGUGGCUUGCAACCAUAUUCAAGCCUUUCCUGGAGGAUUUGCUGAGCCUCCCACCAUAGAAAUCUCCCAAGUGCUGACCUUCCUGAGACCAGAGCUCAUGCAUCAUUGUCACCAGAUUUAUCCCCUGUGUUCUAUUCCUUCUAGGUCUUUUCUGGAGACUUGCUUGCUAAUUUCAGAUAGGGUAUGAAGUUUAUGCAAAACUAGUAUAUGCUAGGAUGGCAGUUUUGAAAAGGUAUUGCAAGAGUAUUAAGAACAGGAUGUUAAAAAAUGUGAUCAGUUCUGGCACUGAUUACAAAACAAUAGGUGCCACCUACUCCCAAGUUCUGGACCACCAAGGUGGGGAUUGUAAAAGGGUUGUCUGAGAACUAGGUUUGUAACCCUUAGCUGCCUAUCAGACCUGAGGGGGAGACUUAAAAGGAGAGAAUGAAUGGCAUACUGUCUCUUUGGUAGGACUGUGCAUUCAUUGGUGGAAGGUCCUACCCUUGCCAUUUCUUUCUUGCCUUGUAAGAUGCAUUGUCCCAGAGGAUACCAUGAACAAGGACUGACAAAAGCAAAGAAUACAGCCAAGGCAGUGAGCAAAGUGUCAUUUUAGGAGGUUGGGAUGCUGAUUUUAUUUGAAUGUCGGUCAGCAAUCCUACAGUAACCUGACUC